CACCGGCACCUCGAGUGGUAGCCACUAUUAUUGGGCCUAAAGCAUCCGUAGCCUGUUCUAUAAGUUUCCGGUUAAAUCCAUACGCUCAACGUAUGGGCUGCCGGAAAUACUGCAGAACUAGGGAGUGGGAGAGGUAGACGGUACUCGAUAGGAAGAGGUAAAAUUCUUUGAUCUAUUGAUGACCACCUGUGGCGAAGGCGGUCUACCAGAACACGUUCGACGGUGAGGGAUGAAAGCUGGGGGAGCAAACCGG
rnacentral:rRNA from 1 species